CAGUCGCCGCGGUAAAACGUAGGUGGCAAGCGUUGUCCGGAAUUAUUGGGCGUAAAGGGCUCGCAGGCGGUUUCUUAAGUCUGAUGUGAAAGCCCCCGGCUCAACCGGGGAGGGUCAUUGGAAACUGGGAAACUUGAGUGCAGAAGAGGAGAGUGGAAUUCCACGUGUAGCGGUGAAAUGCGUAGAGAUGUGGAGGAACACCAGUGGCGAAGGCGACUCUCUGGUCUGUAACUGACGCUGAGGAGCGAAAGCGUGGGGAGCGAACAGGAUUAGAUACCCCAGUAGUCCCUGUCUCUUAUAC
rnacentral:rRNA from 1 species